rnacentral:rRNA from 1 species
AGAUAGCGUAACAGCUCACUGGUCUAAACAAGCCGUCCUGCGCCGAAGAUGUAUCGGGGCUCAAACUAUGUACCGAAGCUGAGGAUUCACACUUAUGUGUGAGUGGUAGCGGAGCGUUCCGUAGGCCUGCGAAGGUGUACCGCGAGGUAUGCUGGAGGUAUCGGAAGUGAGAAUGCUGACAUGAGUAGCGAUAAAGAGUGUGAGAAACACUCUCGCCGAAAGUCCAAGGGUUCCUGCGUAAAGCUAAUCUGCGCAGGGUUAGUCGGCCCCUAAGGCGAGGGCGAAAGCCGUAGUCGAUGGGAACCACGUUAAUAUUCGUGGGCCAAGGAGUGUGUGACGGAUUUCGAAAGUUGUCAUCCCUUACUGGAUUGGGAUGGCGGCCUGGAAGUCCCAGGAAAUAGCCCUCCAUUAAGACCGUACCCUAAACCGACACCGGUGG